rnacentral:lncRNA from 1 species
CCAGGGGAGCCCUGGGUGGACAGGAAGAAUUUGAAGUUUUGGAAUUAUUUGGGACAAUGAGCUCUGAGUGCCUGAACUGAAGCUGAAUUAAACCGAAGGUUUUCUCAUCCAUUGGCUUUGACUCAAUGCACUGUAGACAAAUUAAGUGAUAAAAUGAUCACUCAAGGAAAAAGGCAUCCACCUUCUCCUAAACAGAUUCUGAUAGGAGCCUCGAGCUUCACUUCCUUUUGAGACUUGUCCUUUUUCUCAAAAAACUGGAGCACUUCUAUGGAGAGACCAUGGAUUCUUCCUGAAGAUGUAGUGUUUGCUGGGGUGUUGAACAGGCCACAAAUGGAGGAAGAGAGCAAUGGAGAACUUUUAAUCUAUCCAACUAUAUUCUGCAAACUUGGAAUGUAGUAUCUGCUCAGUGAGGCAUGAAGCCUGAAGAAACACAGUUUUCUCCAGUUGACUUUGGUUCCACAGUUACUGAAGAAUUUCUACUUUAAUGAGGGGAACAAGCCUGUGAAGACACAAGUUUUGGCAGAAUUGCAGUGGUCUGCAUUGGAAUAUGGUGAGUCCAGUGACUUUCAGAGUAGAUUGCCUGCAGUGGUUGUCCACUUUUUUAAAAACGGAAUUUGUUCUUCUUGUGUGGUUUGUAUCCCUG